rnacentral:rRNA from 1 species
UACGGGGGGGGGCAAGCGUUGUUCGGAAUUACUGGGCGUAAAGGGCUCGUAGGCGGCCAACUAAGUCAGACGUGAAAUCCCCAGGCUCAACCUGGGAACUGCGUCUGAUACUGGAUGGCUUGAAUUCGGGGAGAGGGAUGCAGAAUUCCAGGUGUAGCGGUGAAAUGCGUAGAUAUCUGGAGGAAUACCGGUGGCGAAGGCGGCAUCCUGGACCGACAUUGACGCUGAGGAGCGAAAGCUAGGGGAGCAAACGGG